UACGUAGGGGGCAAGCGUUGUCCGGAUUUAUUGGGCGUAAAGAGCGUGUAGGCGGCCAAGCAGGUCAGCUGUGAAAACUCGAGGCUCAACCUCGAGACGUCGGUUGAAACCGCUUGGCUAGAGUCCGGAAGAGGAGAGUGGAAUUCCCGGUGUAGCGGUGAAAUGCGCAGAUAUCGGGAAGAACACCCGUGGCGAAGGCGGCUCUCUGGGACGGUACUGACGCUGAGACGCGGAAGCGUGGGGAGCGAACAGG
rnacentral:rRNA from 1 species